rnacentral:tRNA from 1 species
AUUUUGGUGGCUGAAUCUUAGGCGAUAGAUUGUAAAUCUUUUUAUGGCGUUGUACGCCCCAAGACC